rnacentral:rRNA from 1 species
UACGUAGGGUGCAAGCGUUGUCCGGAUUUAUUGGGCGUAAAGAGCUCGUAGGCGGUUUGUCGCGUCUGCUGUGAAAACGCGAGGCUCAACCUCGCGCCUGCAGUGGGUACGGGCAGACUAGAGUGCGGUAGGGGAGAUUGGAAUUCCUGGGUGUAGCGGUGGAAUGCGCAGAUAUCAGGAGGAACACCGAUGGCGAAAGGCAGAUCUCUGGGCCGUAACUGGACGCUGAGAAGCGAAAGCGUGGGGAGCGAAACAGGAAUAGAAA